GACUCCUACGGGGAGGCAGCAGUGGGGAAUAUUGCACAAUGGGGGAAACCCUGAUGCAGCCAUGCCGCGUGUGUGAAGAAGGACCUUCGGGUUGUAAAGCACUUUCAGUAGGGAGGAAGGUAGUGUAGUUAACACCUGCAUUAUUUGACGUUACCUACAGAAGAAGCGCCGGCUAACUCCGUGCCAGCAGCCGCGGUAAUACGGAGGGUGCGAGCGUUAAUCGGAAUUACUGGGCGUAAAGCGCAUGCAGGCGGCCUGUUAAGUCAGAUGUGAAAGCCCGGGGCUUAACCUCGGAAUUGCAUUUGAAACUGGCAGGCUAGAGUCUUGUAGAGGGGGGUAGGAAUUUCAGGUGUAGCGGUGAAAUGCGUAGAGAUCUGAAGGAAUACCAGUGGCGAAGGCGGCCCCCUGGACAAAGACUGACGCUCAGAUGCGAAAGCGUGGGGAGCAAACAGGAUUAGAUACCCUGGUAG
rnacentral:rRNA from 1 species